rnacentral:rRNA from 1 species
UGGGGAAUAUUGCACAAUGGGCGCAAGCCUGAUGCAGCCAUGCCGCGUGUAUGAAGAAGGCCUUCGGGUUGUAAAGUACUUUCAGCGGGGAGGAAGGUGUUGUGGUUAAUAACCACAGCAAUUGACGUUACCCGCAGAAGAAGCACCGGCUAACUCCGUGCCAGCAGCCGCGGUAAUACGGAGGGUGCAAGCGUUCAUCGGAAUUACUGGGCGUAAAGCGCACGCAGGCGGUCUGUCAAGUCGGAUGUGAAAUCCCCGGGCUCAACCUGGGAACUGCAUUCGAAACUGGCAGGCUAGAGUCUUGUAGAGGGGGGUAGAAUUCCAGGUGUAGCGGUGAAAUGCGUAGAGAUCUGGAGGAAUACCGGUGGCGAAGGCGGCCCCCUGGACAAAGACUGACGCUCAGGUGCGAAAGCGUGGGGAGCAAACA